CCGCCGGACCUGACUGCUAUCGGAUUGAUACUAAGCCAUGCGAGUCAUUGUAGCAAUACAAGGCAUACGGCUCAGUAACGCGUAGUCAACCUAACCUAUGGACGGGAAUAACCUCGGGAAACUGAGAAUAAUGCCCGAUAGAACAUUAUACCUGGAAUGGUUUAUGUUCCAAAUGAUUUAUCGCCGUAGGAUGGGACUGCGGCCUAUCAGUUUGUUGGUGAGGUAAUGGCCCACCAAGACUAUUACAGGUACGGGCUCUGAGAGGAGUAGCCCGGAGAUGGGUACUGAGACACGGACCCAGGCCCUAUGGGGCGCAGCAGGCGAGAAAACUUUGCAAUGUGCGAAAGCACGACAAGGUUAAUCCGAGUGAUUUCUGCUAAAGAAAUCUUUUGUUAGUCCUAGAAACACUAACGAAUAAGGGGUGGGCAAGUUCUGGUGUCAGCCGCCGCGGUAAAACCAGCACCUCAAGUGGUCAGGAUGAUUAUUGGGCCUAAAGCAUCCGUAGCCGGCUCUGUAAGUUUUCGGUUAAAUCUGUACGCUUAACGUACAGGCCGCCGGGAAUACUGCAAAGCUAGGGAGUGGGAGAAGUAGACGGUACUCGGUAGGAAGUGGUAAAAUGCUUUGAUCUAUCGAUGACCACCUGUGGCGAAGGCGGUCUACUAGAACACGUCCGACGGUGAGGGAUGAAAGCUGGGGGAGCAAACCGGAUUAGAUACCCGGGUAGUCCCAGCUGUAAACUAUGCAAACUCAGUGAUGCAUUGGCUUGUGGCCAAUGCAGUGCUGCAGGGAAGCCGUUAAGUUUGCCGCCUGGGAAGUACGUACGCAAGUAUGAAACUUAAAGGAAUUGGCGGGGGAGCACCACAAGGGGUGAAGCCUGCGGUUCAAUUGGAUUCAACGCCGGA
rnacentral:rRNA from 1 species